UCCCUGGUGGUCCAGUGGCUAAGACUUUACACUUCCAAUGUAGGGGCUGUGGGUCUGAUCCGUGGCCAGGGAA
rnacentral:tRNA from 1 species